rnacentral:rRNA from 1 species
UACGAAGGGGGCUAGCGUUGUUCGGAAUCACUGGGCGUAAAGCGUGCGUAGGCUGUUUUGUAAGUUGGGAGUGAAAGCCCAGGGCUCAACCCUGGAAUUGCUCUCAAAACUACAAGACUCGGAUUUGGGAGAGGAUAGCGGAAUUGUCAGUGUAGCAGUGAAAUGCGUAGAUAUUGACAGGAACACCAGUGGCGCAAGCGGCUAUCUGGACCAACAUCGACGCUGAGGCACGAAAGCGUGGGGAUCAAACAGG